AUCUCUUGGUUCUGGCAUCUAUGAAGAACGCAGCGAAAUGCGAUAAGUAAUGUGAAUUGCAGAAUUCAGUGAAUCAUCGAAUCUUUGAACGCACAUUGCGCCCAUUAGUACUCUAGUGGGCAUGCCUGUUCGAGCGUCAUUACGACCCUUAAGCCUAGCUUAGUAUUGGGAACCUACGUGCGGCAGCUACCCUGUAGCUACCCUGUAGCUCCUUAAAGACAACGGCGGAGACGUGGAGUCCUCUGAGCUUAGUAACUUUUCUAGCUUCUGAAGGCGCCGCGGCCCCUGCCGUAAAACCCCCAACUCUUUAGUGGUUGACCUCGGAUCAGGUAGGAAUACCCGCUGAACUUAAGCAUAUCAAUAAGCGGAGGAAAAGAAACCAACAGGGAUUGCCUUAGUAACGGCGAGUGAAGCGGCAACAGCUCAAAUUUGAAAGCUGGCCUUCGGGUCCGCGUUGUAAUUUGUAGAGGAUGCUUUUGGUUAGGUGCCUUACGAGUUCCCUGGAACGGGACGCCUUAGAGGGUGAGAGCCCCGUACGUUUGGUUACCGAGCCUCUGUAAAGCUCCUUCGACGAGUCGAGUAGUUUGGGAAUGCUGCUCUAAAUGGGAGGUAAAUUUCUUCUAAAGCUAAAUACCGGCCAGAGACCGAUAGCGCACAAGUAGAGUGAUCGAAAGAUGAAAAGCACUUUGAAAAGAGGGUUAAAUAGCACGUGAAAUUGUUGAAAGGGAAGCGUUUAUGACCAGACUUUUUCCUGGCGGAUCAUCCGGUGUUCUCACCGGUGCACUUCGCCAGGUUUAGGCCAGCAUCGGUUUUCGCCGGGGGAUAAAAGCAGUGGUAAU
rnacentral:rRNA from 1 species